AGUGAACGCUGGCGGUAGGCCUAACACAUGCAAGUCGAACGGCAGCACAGUAAGAGCUUGCUCUUACGGGUGGCGAGUGGCGGACGGGUGAGGAAUACAUCGGAAUCUACUUUUUCGUGGGGGAUAACGUAGGGAAACUUACGCUACUACCGCAUACGACCUACGGGUGAAAUCAGGGGAUCUUCGGACCUUGCGCGACUGAAUGAGCCGAUGUCGGAUUAGCUAGUUGGCAAGGUAAAGGCCCACCAAGGCGACGAUCCGUAGCUGAUCUGAGAGGGUGAUCAGCCACACUGGAACUGAGACACGGUCCAGACUCCUACGGGAGGCAGCAGUGGGGAAUAUUGGACAAUGGGCGCAAGCCUGAUCCAGCCAUACCGCGUGGGUGAAGAAGGCCUUCGGGUUGUAAAGCCCUUUUGUUGGGAAAGAAAAGAAGCAGGUUAAUACCCCGCUGUUCUGACGGUACCCAAAGAAUAAGCACCGGCUAACUUCGUG
rnacentral:rRNA from 1 species